AGAAAGAACUUCAAGGAAAGAAUCUUACUAACUCCUAAAUCCAGAGAAUUAAUUGUUGCAGAAAGAUGCCAGAAAACCUACACUACAUCAAGAAAAUACAAAAUGAACUUUGGGUGUGGUUGAUUGAACUGAAGUUGAUUGAACAUUUAUUUGAAUGUAUACUCUUAUGCCAAAAGGGGUCUUCCCCCUAACUGGUUUUCUUCGAUGUUCCCAGCAAACUUUGGUUUUGCUGUCUUUCUCUCUUCUAUUCCCCUCUUCUAUCUCACUAUUGUAGUUUCCUCUUAGAAGGUGAAAUUUUGUAUGUAUUUGCAGUUAGAAGAAUUUAGAGGUGCCGGAUGAUUAUGUUUAGUGAUCAAUUGUGGAGACUAGUCCCCCAAUCAGGGGGGAUUGUGAAUUUUAGAUUUACUCCACCCUGCUUAGUCUAGCAAUCAGGAAUGUAUACACUGCUAUUUAAGGAUUAAGUGUUGAAAAGGAUUGCCUAUGACAGACAUGUGUUAGCAAAUGACAAAUCAGAAACAAAUGACAGACCCCCUUGGGCUGUCUUAAGUCAAGCUUAAGCUAGUAGUGGUACAUGUGAGACACAGGAAGUGAUGUAAAAAAACGGUCUAUAUAUUUUGUGUCACUUCCUUUCUCUGGUCUUGCUUUUCAUGGAGAGGUGGCUCUGGCUCUUUUUCUCAGCAGAGACAUGGCUGGUGGCAGUGUGCUGGGCAUCUUGGAAUCUUGGAGUGCCUGUAGCUCUUAUCCAGGUUUGGCUCGUGGCAGCAUUUUGGCAUCUUGGCGUGGUUCAGAUCCAAGAUGGUGGCCUAGAAGGAGCAGAAGUUCUGACCUCUGAAUACCCUAACUUACCAAUCACAAACUGAAUGCUCUGAGGGGAAUGAAAAUCUAACCUAACAACAAGACAGAGCCAAGGAACCCUGAUGGACUCAAUUCAAAAGGUAUGUCCCCCAAAAAUCUGGAAUCCAAGAAUACUUGGGUUUAAGGGAAAGGUAGAAGGAAGGUCCCAGGACCCCUCCCACAAACACACCUAGAGCUCUAAGCCCCCAGUGGCAGCGGGAACCUUGGGGAGGGCAAAGGCACUGGUCUGGAGGGUGUACCUUGCGGACAAGGUUGUGCCAAGCUCAGAGCAUUGAACACAGACAGUGGGGAAGGAGCUGGGGAGGGAGCAUAGAGUUGUCAGCCUGGUCAGAGCUAUGGAGAUCCUCCAAAUUGCUCAAGCCUUCCAGGAGGUUUUGGCCUUAGAGCACAACCAGCCCAACCCACCUGAACUUAAUCCCAUCAAAAGUCUAUAGAACUCAGGGAAGCCCAGGCUCCAACACCCCUCCCUCAGGGACUGAGGGGCUUUAAACCAAUCAAAAGCCUCCAGAGGACAGGGUAGCUCAAACUCCAACAACCCUUCCCCACAGACAGCACCAAGAGAUGUCAAAGUUCCAAGAGGGGAGACUGACAGAAGCCCCCAAAACCAAAAAAAUGAGAGGAGCAAGACCACAGACAAAUAUGGGGAGCAAAGAAGUGAUAAAUAUGAGCAAACAACAGAAAAAGAAGAAAAAAUUGCAAUAGACAGCUUCUAUUCAGCAAAUGGAACAGAGUAGGAGGGAUCAACAAAUGAUGAAUCAGAAAUCCCAUUGAAUUGGAUACAAGCUUUGGAAGAACUCAAAAUGCAAUUCAAAACACAAUUAAGAGAGGCUGAAGACAAUUGGGAAAAGAACUUAAAAACUAAGAUAAGUAAUCUGGAAACAGAGGCACUUGAACUAAAAUGAGAAAAUAGUGCCUUGAAAUCCAAAAUCAACCAGCUGAAAAAUGAGUCAGGAGAUGAAAGAUGAGGCAAAGAAGAUGAAAGAUGAGGCAAAGGAGAUGAAAGAU
ensembl:lncRNA